AUAAGUCAAAUAUUUUUUUUAAUUUUCUUGAAAACCUAAUUGGACGACCAAUCAUAAUGAUUCGGUUUACAAAACAAUAGUCUGAUGCCAUUAGAAGAUUUCAAUAUAAUCUGGCGUAAGAUUUUUGAAAGGCUUCCGUUUUGACUUACGAGUACCAUUUAAUGGUAAUAGAUGCAUACACGAUAGUGAGCUAGAUUUUCUGAUGAUGAUAGAGAAAAUAUUGUCUUCGCCGGACAAAUGGCAGACAAUACUUUACUUUUUAUGAGGCUUGAUACUGUAAUCAAUGUCCGUCACUAUGAACGUCUGUCCUAAUACAUAGUUUGUAUAAACAAAUAUACGAGCGAUGGAUAUUGAUACGAUAAACAUCAGAAGUCGCCGUGGAAAGUUUUAUACAAGAGUUCAGCGUUGCCAGACGUCCCGAUUUUCGCGGGACUUGCAGAAUUGGAUUUGCAGUCAAAAACAAAGAAAAACAACACAAAGGGUAAAUCUAUAACACAGGUUAUUUAAAUUUUCAAUAAAAUUAAGCUAUUGCGUGUUUUAUUAAAAACUAAAAAAUAAACAUUUACUAUAUUAUUAAUUUGGGAUUUUUUUUUCUAUUUAACCCACAUCUGAAGAAAUAAUUUGCUUUUUUUUAAUCAUUAGGUAAUGUACCUAUUUUUUAAGAAAAUUUAAUCUAUAAUGGUAAUUUUCUCUAUUUGUACUACCAACAAAUUACGAGUCUGAAACGGUUCUCCGACAGAAUGUCUCUAUUCUGCUUGCGAAUCGUUCGUAGAUGAAGGGUUCUGUCGUAGAAGAACCGUUUCAGACUCUAAAUUGCCGGCUUAGUUUCCAUUUAGAAACUUUCCUCAGUGCACAUAUCCGACGCAGUAAUAGAAAUAAUUUAGUAUUCUGUUUUUUAUGGGCCAUAUUAAUAUGAUUUGAACUUCUAUGAUUUUUAGGAAUAACGUAACCAAGAAUCAUAGAUAUAGAAGGGGUGGAGCAGGAGAAACCGCUUCCAUAAGGCAUCUGCCUCAGCCCAAAUUAUCGUAACAUAAAAAUUAUAGAAACAAUAACAAUGCAUCUCCUUUAUGUUUUUGCUUCGUGGGCCUAACUAAACUACACAUAUAACCUAUGUAUUGUGGUGUCGGUCUCCCGGGAAAGGACCACAUUAUAUCUACAUU